AGAAAUAACUACGCUACCAGAAGGACAAGCUGCAAGUGUAGGAGUUUCCUCCCACUGCUGCCUCUGCAUGGAGCUGACGCAGGGAAGAGGCAGUCUGGGAAAAGUUUGGGAAAAGUGAGGCCGGCAUACUUGGGCCGGUUCUCCACAUAGUUCCUCACGGUGGGCUGCAGCUUCUUCAUAAACUCCGGCGACGGUGUACCGAGCUGCUCGAUCACUUUGUUCCAUUGGUCGAUGUCUGGUGCGAGAUUAAGCCUUUGGCCAUCUUGAGGACGCAAUUAAAGCUUCCCCACAGGAGAGGCAUCAGUCCAG